GCCGGCCGAGACUUCUGGAUGGCGGCGGCCGCGGCUCCGCCCCGGGUUCCCACCGCCUGAAGGGCGAGACAAGCCCGACCUGCUACAGGCACUCGUGGGGGUGGGGGAGGAGCGGGGGUCGGUCCGGCUGGUUUGUGGGUGGGAGGCGCUUGUUCUCCAAAAACCGGCGCGAGCUGCAAUCCUGAGGGAGCUGCGGUGGAGGAGGUGGAGAGAAGGCCGCACCCUUCUGGGCAGGGGGAGGGGAGUGCCGCAAUACCUUUAUGGGAGUUCUCUGCUGCCUCCCGUCUUGUAAGGACCGCCCUGGGCCUGGAAGAAGCCCUCCCUCCUUUCCUCCUCGCGUGAUCUCGUCAUCGCCUCCAUGUCGAGUCGCUUCUCGAUUAUGGGCGGGAUUCUUUUGCCUAGGCUUAAGGGGCUAACUUGGUCCCUGGGCGUUGCCCUGCAGGGGAGUGAGCAGCUGUAAGAUUUGAGGGGCGACUCCGAUUAGUUUAUCUUCCCACGGACUAGAGUUGGUGUCGAGGUUAUUGUAAUAAGGGUGGGGUAGGGAAAUGGAGCUUAGUCAUUCACCUGGGGCUGAUUUUAUGCAACGAGACUGCGGAUUAUCACUACUUAUCAUUUUUGGAGCAUUUUUCUAGAGACAGACAUAAAGCAUGAUCACCUGAGUUUUAUACCAUUUGAGACCCUUGCUGCACCACCAAAGUGUAGCAUCAGGUUAAAUCUUAAUAGAAAAAUUUUAGCUUUUGCUUGAGAAACCAGUGCUUCCCUCCCUCACCCUCUCUCCCCAGGCUCUCUACCCCUUUGCAUCCCUACCAGGCAUCUUAGCAACUCUCACUCAUACUUGAUCCCAUUUUCCAUUUGUUGUACUUGCUCCUCUAGUAUUCAGACAUAGCACUAGCUUUCUCCCUCUCUUGAUCUUGGGUAGCCUGGUGUCUCGCGAAACCAGACAGAUUGGUUCCACCACAAAUUAAGGCUUGAGCUGGGGCUUGACUCUUACCCAGCAGUGCUUUUAUUCCUCCCUAGUUCACGUUCUUAAAUGUUUAUCUUGAUUUUCAUUUUAUCCUUUUUCCUUAGCUGGGAUUCUGUCCCUGACCGUCUUCACAGUCCAGGUGAUCUUGACUACUGCUUUACAGAGAAUUGGAUCUGAGGUUAGGCAACAUCUCCCUUUUUCUUCCUCUAAAUACCUCUCAUUUCUGUUCUUACCAGUUAGUAACUGAUCUCAGAUGCCUGUGUGAUAGCUUCCAAAUUGCUGUCUCUGUCUUUAGUGUUAUCUUUUGAUCCAUCUUACAUCUUGUUAGGAUGAUUGUCCUAAAGGAAGAUAGAGCAUGAAAAUGACAGGUGAAACUCCAUUACUGGCUUGUACUGUUUACAGCAAGUUGUCUAACCCGCGGGCCGCAUGGGACCCAGGACAGCUUUGAAUGCGACCCAACACAAAUUCGUAAACUUUCUUAAAGUUUUAGGAGUUUUUUUUGCGGGGUGUUUUUUUUGUUGUUGUUGUCUGUUUUUUUUUUUUGCUCAUCAGCUGUCCUUUAUAUGUGGCCCAAGACAGUUCUUGCAGUGUGGCCCAGGGAAGCCGAAAGAUUGGACACCCCUGGUUUACAGGAUGAAUUCUGUUCUCGUGAAUGUGAUGCAUAAGGUCCCUGGAUAGACUUUCCUCAAUUUAACAGCUUUUUCAUUUUUCACUAUUUUCCACAUACUACACACACAAAUAUGACCUCUCUCCUGAAGUCACAUGGAAUGAAUUGCAGUUACCCAAAUCAUAGAGACGUCAUAUAUCUUUGUGGGGUGGUUCUUUUUGGAAUGCUACCCUUGCUGCUUUUAAUCCUGCAGAUUCAAAUGUCAUCUCCCCUUUGGUCAUGCCUUCCAUGGUCUGUUGUUCUAUGACCCAAACUGCCCUUUUAAAAAAGCAGUUUUCUUCUGACUCCUGAGCAGUUUGUACUGCGUGGGUCAUAGUAAUUCUGGGGUUGUUGUCAUUGCUGAUUUAAAUUACCUUAACUAUUCUGAGCUUUUUGAAGGAAUAGUGUCUUGUACUCCUGAGCUCCUAGUAUACUCUGAUGUCUAGCCAACUUUAAGUAAAUGGAGUGAGCGACAUGUAAAUGUCUUUAUGGUUUGACAUUUUAUUAAUCUUGAGCAUUGGAAAAGUGGCUGGUAUGACUAAAGAACUGAAUUUUUAUUUUUUAUCUAAUUUGAAUUGCAACUGUGGACAGUAUAGCUGUAGCCCCGGACUUGUUCUGUGGAUUACAGAAUACGUGGACAUUGAUGGUUUUCUCUUUUUACUGAGCAGUAAGGAAAUAAAAGCUGAAGCUCUCUGGCCCAUUACAUUUCAUUUAACUGCUUGUUUUGUUUUAUUUAUUAUAUAUUUAGCUGAAAGCUAAGUCCAACAAACCAUUUUUAAAGAUGUGCCUGCCUUGGACAACAGUGAAAGCAAGCGUUAAUGAGUUUGGAUUUCAAAAAAAAAUGCAUAAUGAAUUUUAGGGAGGUGUGGAAACAGGAAGAGAACUAGAACUGGAAGUAAAGCAUUGAAGAUGUGACUGAAUUGCUGCAAUCUCAUGAUCAAAUUUGAAUGGAUGAGGAGUUGCUUUUUAGGGAUGAGCAAAGAAAGUGGUUUCUCGAGAUGGAAUCUACUGGUGAAGUUGCUGUGAACAUUGUUAAAAUGCCAAUAAAGGAUUUAGGAAUUACAGAAACCUGGUUGAUAAAGCAGUGCCAGGGUGUGAGAGAGUUGACUUCAAUUUUGAAAUAAGUUCCACUGGCUGGGUGUGGUGGCUCACACCUGCAAUCCCAGUACUUUAGGAGGCCGAGACUGGUAGAUCAUUUGAGGUCAGGAGUUCAAGACCAGCCUUGCCAACAUGGUGAAACCCCACCUCUACCAAAUUAGCCAGGUGUGGUGCACACCUGUAGUCCCAGCUACUUGGGAAGCUGAGGCAGGAGAAUCUCUUGAACCAGGGAGGAGGAGGUUGCAGUAAGCCGAGAUGGCGCCCCUGCACUCCAGCCUGGGUGACAGAGUGAGACCUUGCGUUUAAAAAAAAAAAAAAAGGAAAAGGAAAAAAAAGUUCUACUGUGGGUAAAAUGCUAUCAUGCUAUCAAACAGCAUCACAUGCUACAGAGAAGUCUUGUGAAAGGAUGUCAGUGUGGCAAACUUCAUUGUCUUUUAAGAAAUUGCCACAGCUAUCGUAAUCUUCAACCACCACCACCCUGAUGAGUCAGUAGCCAUCGUUAACGUUGGCGUAAGACCCUCCACCAGCAAAAAGAUUGUUAGCAUUUUUUUAGCAGUGAUGUAUUUAUCAAUUAUACAUAAUGCUAUUGUACACUUCUUAAUAGACUAUGGUAUAGUGUAACCAUAAUUUAUGCACUGGGAAACCAACAAAUUCAUGAGAUUCGCUUUAUUGUAGUGCUCUGGAAUUGAGCCUGCCGUGUUUCUGAGGUAUACCUGUGUAUUUAGUAUGUUCCUUGUAUAUAAAACCCCAUUUUAUAGGGUAGGAAACUAAGGCUUAGAGUUUGAGCAAUUUUCCCAUAGAUAACACCAAUAAAUUGAGGGCUGCAGAGACCACUUAAGUGGUUCUCUUAACAGUAGUCUAGACAUGACGUAAUGAGAUUUGGCUUAGGAGUGACAAUGGUAAGGAAGUUAAAGGAUUCAGGAACCAAAUACCAGUUAUUGAGAAGAAAGAAUGGCCUCAAAACAUCACUUCUCAAGGAAGCCUUGAUACCCUCACCCUUACUACACUGUAUCCUCCAUUUGAAUGUUGUCAAGAGCUCUUCUCACAAUUGUAAAUAAUAAUUGUGUAAUUUUGUUUUUUUUUUCCUACUUUAGGUUGCUCCUUGAGGGCAGGACAGUUCUUAUGGCUUUAUCCGUUGCGUAAGCACAGAGAGGUCUGCGAGGUCAAAACUAUUGUCAUGAUAGCAAGAUGCCUGUCUUUUUCAUUUAUUCUCACGGUGUGCAGAGGCUACAUGAUGUGUGAUGACAUCCUCAUUGAUGUUAAUGAAUGGUGCUAUACUUGAAUUUUCUAAGGUGUCAUUAGGUAGGUUUAGGUAUGCAUACUUGUUUUUAGAAAUUAUUUUUUUCCUUUUUCCCAUUUUUAGAAAUCAACUCAUUUUUUAGGUUAUGCCUUCAGUAAUCUUUGCAACCUCAAUAUUGUGUAAUGGUUACUUUAAAAUACUGUAGUUUUCUUUGUGCCUAAGUAUAAACAUAAGUACAUUUUGUUGUUUUGUUUGCAAUAGUGGUUUAAAUAUUUUCCCAAAAUAUCCAAAUUUAAAAAUUCUACAACUUUAGAAUUUAAUAAAUUUAUUCUAAAAUAUUUAUAUAUUUUUUCAUUUAAGAAUGGAUCGGCUUAAAAAGACUGCUUCUCAUUUACUUACUGGCUAUACCAUCUGUAUACUAAUAAAAAACAAGAUUUGAUUUGGAAGGACUGACUCAAACUAACGAAAAUAUGAAACCUGUCUUUCUGCUUUGGAGAUAUUUACCUAAUCAUGUUCUGCAGUAGAAUAAUUUAGUUCUUUUGUCUUUUUUUGGAGAUGAGGUCUUGCUGUGUUGCCCAGGCUAUUCACAGCUGCCAUCAUAGUGAACUACAGCCUGAAACUCCUGGGUUCAAGAGAUCCUUCUGCCUCAGCCUCCUGAGUAGCUGGAACUAUAGGCAUGCGCCACCAAGCCUGGGCUUUUAAAAAAAUUUUAAAAAGAAUUUUGAGACAGGAUCUUGCCAUGUUGCUCAGGCUAGUCUUCAACUCCUAGCCCUGAGUGAUCUUGCUUUGGGCCUCUCAAAAUGUUGAGUUAAUAGGCGUGAGCCACCAUACCCAGCCAAAAAUUUUUUUAGAGAUGGGAAUGGAAUGAUCUUGAAUAGUGUUGGUGCCACCUAUGUUGUGGCAUCAUUUUGAAACCAAUCAUUCAGAGUGCUUUUUUUGGUAAGGCAUUAUUUUUUAAUGCAGGUAUGCCACUACUGGGAAAAAAAAAAAAACAGGUUUUAAAGCUAGAAAUGAAAAGCUACUUAAGUAUCUUAAAGGAUAAGUUACUUUAUUAUACACUAGAAACAUACACAAUAGCUGAAAAACUUAAAAAAUCUCACACUGCUGAAUGUCUCUGCUGGCUGAAGUGUAAGUAAAAGAUCAUAGUAGUGCCGCUGUUGAGUGAUAAAGCAACUUGUCAUUAAAGAUGUGUGUGCAGACAUGGAUUCUGAGUUAAUAUCUCAUCUGUAGAAGUAUAUAUUUGUCCCUUGCUUUGGGAUUGGUUUCUGGACAGCACUCCCCCACCCUUGCUGGCCAUUUGCCAAGGACACCAAAACCCAAGGAUGUUGAAUUCCCUUUUAUAAAAUGGCGCUGUAUCUGCAUACAACUUACACACAUCCUCCCAUAUACUUUAAAUCAUUUCCAGAUUUCUUAUACUUCAUACAAUGUGAAUGCUAUAUAAAUAGUUGUUACAUUGUGUACUUAUAUUUGUACUAUUGUAUUAAAUAUUCUCAAAUAUUUUCAAGCACAUUUGGUUGAAUCUGCAGAUGCAGAACCUGAGGAUAUGGAGGGCUGACUGUGCUAAUACGUUAUCAAUGGAUGCGUGCAUAAACAUGGCUGGACUUGUUACUUGGCUUGUAUUUGCCAGGCAUCAGCACCAACUAGUUAAAGAUACUCUUACGUGAAAGCUUGGCAACAAACACAUGUCCUGAAAUAAUGCAAGUGUAGAAUAACUUUUUAAAAUCUCAUGGUUUAUGCUAAACUAUAUGUUGACAUAAGAGUGGUGAUAAGGCAACAGUAGGUAAAAGUAAAAUUUCAGGCACCUUGGCACAAACUGUGGCAGUGGCAUCAAACUCUAAGUUAUUUUUCACUGCCAUGCAUUUGUGGUGUGAACCCCCACAAAAGAAAAAAACCAGUUUCACUCAAGAAUGUCCUUGUGAAAGCAGUGACAUUUUGUUAAAUCUUAAACCCUACAGUACAUAACUUUUUGAAAUGGUUGUCUCAAGAAAAAGCACUCAUGUAAGCUGAAUUAUCUGCUAUUUCCUUGGAGCCUAACAACUGACAGCAAUUGUUUUCAAUGAUAAAAUCCAAACGUUGAGUCAAAAUCAGAAUUUCGGGAAAACUUGUGUCUAAUAUCAGGAACUUGACAGCUUCCCAAUACUUCAUGAGAUAGUGAUAUUGAAAAUAAUUUUUUUUUUUUUUUGGGACAUCUGGCUGACUGCAACCUCUGUCUCCUGGGUUCAAGCAAUUCUCCUGCCUCAGCCUCCUGCAUAACUGGGACUACAGGGAAGCACCAUUUUCCACAAAACUCUCAAGAAGGACUUGUUGCAACUGGAAAAGCAAUUAAAUGUGAAUCGUGAUCCAGGAGAAAGUAACAACUCACAUAACUCCCAAAUUAAAAGUUUUCCAAAGAUAUAUCAUUUUUUUUCUCUUGGCCUUUUAAGAAACUAGCCAACAAAUACUCUUGACAGGUUUGUGUUUGGUUUUGAAAACACACACCUUAGUGUACUGAAAGAAAAACAAUUUCUUUUAAUUUGGUUUGUUGGUCCCACACCCCAUCUAUCAAUGUAUGUGCUAUUUACAAAUAAGUUCUAUACAGUAUUUUUGCAGUACCUUUGAUAAUUCCUAGACCUCUAUUUUCAUUCUGUGUAUUAAUGUGAAUAACAGAUGGAUAUUUUAAUAUUUAAGGCAGAUGGUAAACUUUCCUAUAGGUCUUGUGAGACUUCGUCUUAUAGGCUGAACACCAUUCACAAAAUGUAAUAAUGCUUCAUUCCUUCAGGUUGAGGUAAAGAACUUGAGCAACUGGAUUAGCAAAGCUGCAAAGAAUGAAAUGUGGCCUAAGAUGUAAUUAUGUUCUCUGCCCUUCCUUUGGGCCAGGGUAGUUUUGCACUUGACACAAUGGAAAAUAGGCCAUAAAGCCUGAAAAUAAAAUGUUCUAAACCCCAA
rnacentral:lncRNA from 1 species